rnacentral:rRNA from 1 species
UACGAAGGGUGCAAGCGUUAAUCGGAAUUACUGGGCGUAAAGUGUGCGCAGGCGGCAGAGCAAGUCGAGUGUGAAAGCCCCGGGCUCAACCUGGGAACUGCGUCCGAUACUGGAUGGCUUGAAUUCGGGAGAGGGAUGCAGAAUUCCAGGUGUAGCGGUGAAAUGCGUAGAUAUCUGGAGGAACACCGAUGGCGAAGGCAGGUCUCUGGGCCACUACUGACGCUGAGAAGCGAAAGCAUGGGGAGCGAACAGG